rnacentral:tRNA from 1 species
CCGGUGCGCAGACCGGGAAUUCUUCCUUUUGUUGGGGUGGUCCCGGGUUCGAGUCCCGGUCGCCGGU